GGCGGAUGUGGCCAAGUGGAUUAAGGCGGU
rnacentral:tRNA from 1 species